AGAACGAACGCUGGCGGCAUGCCUAACACAUGCAAGUCGAACGAGACCUUCGGGUCUAGUGGCGUACGGGUGCGUAACACGUGGGAAUCUGCCCUUGGGUUCGGAAUAACAGUUGGAAACGACUGCUAAUACCGGAUGAUGACGUAAGUCCAAAGAUUUAUCGCCCAAGGAUGAGCCCGCGUCGGAUUAGCUAGUGGUGGGUAAA
rnacentral:rRNA from 1 species